rnacentral:rRNA from 1 species
CAUUCACGGAGAGUUUGAUCCCGGCUCAGGACGAACGCUGGCGGCGUGCUUAACACAUGCAAGUCGAACGAUGACCCGCUGUCGGGCGGGGAUUAGUGGCGAACGGGUGAGUAACACGUGGGCAAUCUGCCCUGCACUCUGGGACAAGCCCUGGAAACGGGGUCUAAUACCGGAUAUGACUAUCUGCCGCAUGGUGGAUGGUGUAAAGCUCCGGCGGUGCAGGAUGAGCCCGCGGCCUAUCAGCUUGUUGGUGA